GGGGCUGGGGAGGGGAGAGGAGGGGAGGGAGGGGGCCGGGAAGAGGGGAUGGCAGGAGGAGAGAAGAGGGCAGAGAGGGGAGUGAGGGCUGGCGGCUGCUGCUGCAGGGAACGGGGCUGCGGGAGAGGCAGCGGUGCAGGUAGAGCCGGUCCCAAAGGGGGAAUCUGCGCAUUCCUUCGGUUCUCCCCAGCCCUCGGGAACUGCGCCGUGGGAUGGAGGCAAAAUCCCUCCCUGGGACAGAACCUCCCAAAGGUUCUGGUCGCAAGGAUGAGCCAGGAGGGGAGGGAGGCGGACACCCACAGAUGGGUCUGGCACAGGAGCGCUGGGCUCCUCCGGGAGCUCCUUCCCCAUCCGUGACAGCUCAGCGUCGAGGGGACACUGGGAUAAUUGAACGCUUGAUUAUAAAGUAUUUUUUAGCACUUCUGACUUGGUUAUGCCAGUGACAACCUAUGCAGGAGGUUCUGUGAUUUAUAUUCUCCUCAGGAGAAGAAUAAAAAUGAAUGCCCACCUCAUUAAUCCCUUUUAAAGUUGUGUGUGGAUGGGCUAAACAAACUUCUGUGGUUCUAUCUCCUAAUUAACAAGGAAAUAAUUACAAAAAGUUUCUCAGCUUUACUUUGGUUAAUCACCUCUAUUGUUUCGAGGGUUGGUGCUCCUGCCCUCAGGAGCAGGGAUGUGGGGUGCUGGAAUGGUUCAGGAGCACUUUUUAUAAGUUCUCACCUGAAAAUUUUGCUUGUUCUCCGCUUGCUGUUUCUCCCUACAUAACCACCCCCCCCCAAAAAAGCACCCCUGGCUUAGGAGAUUCCCUGCUUGCUUUUUUAAGGCCGAGAGCAUGAUUUACCUAGAUGUGCUGAAUAGUUAGCCACCGGUGAGGAACAAAUAAAAGUAGUGAAAGCAAAAUCGUGGCUCUGCUGACAGUCCCCGAGUGCUGGGUGCUCAUCAUUGCGGUAACAACACGGCACAAUCUGGUUUUGUCAUCUCAGAAGAUUUAUCCCUCUGAGCUGUGCUUUGGGGGUGAACACCUCACCCUACAGCCCAUGGCAUACAGUGGCAACCUGGAAGCUUUUUUCUCUUUUAAAACACAACUGGGACAAGUCACAGCUUCAUUUAGCUCCAGGUGCGCAUUAUCUGUGACUUACAGGGGUGAGAGGCAGGAGCCUCAUUUUGUUCUCUCUGAAAUAAAACCCAAGCAGCUGAGAGGUCACAGAGCCACUCUUGUUCCAUUUACUGCCCUGCUUUGAUGGUCCUGACACACCUUCAGAAGCUCCAUGUUCUGACAGAGCAGAAGCUGAUUUUGCUAAAAUUUGUAAAUUUAGCAGAGGCAAUUUCGCAUGAGGGAACCUCAGUCUUUAAAUGCCUUGAGAAACUAAAAGUAUUUUAUGAAGACAGCUGGGUAAGGGAGUUCAGCAUCCCCCUGAUUGUGGGUGAGAUUUGGAAUUUCUUUCAAACAGAAGUUGUAAAGCCUGUCAUGGAUGAAAUGCUGCUAAGAGUCGGGGAAAGAGAAGGAUUCCAUGCCACUUCGGGUGAAUAACUAUCUCCAGAAAACACAAGGAAUAAGUAGAUAGGGCACAAGGAAUCAAAAGGAAAGAACUGAUUUGAGAUAAGCUCAGGGUCUUGGAUAUCAGGAAGCACAGUGAUAAAGAAGCAAUUCCCAGAUGUUAAACACAGCACAUCUGGAAAAAGACAGCACUAAAAAAUCUUGAAAGGGGAAAAAACCUCAAACAAUGAAACAAAUAACACCCAAAAAAAGGCAAUUACACAGCAAAGGUGGGCUAGAAAUUAGAGCAUGGGAAAGUUACAACUUAAAGCCAAGAGAGACAUAAUUUUAAACUGGAAAUACUGACUGGAGUAACAAAAGCAAAGUCAGCAGCUACCAGUGAUUUGUAAAGUGAUUUGUAAGACUCAAGAGACCUUCUUGCACUCAGAUCCAAAGAGGACUAUGGAGCCCCUUGCUAGACUAAGAAAUUAAUAAUUUUUGAAAGGAGCUAGCACACUAUGAAACAUUUACUGGGAAGGAUUGGGCAAGAUGUCUUACUUUUGAUAAGUUUGGUCUUUGUAAAGAUGAGUAGAAAUUAAUGCUUACCAAGAAGGCUGUCUUUGUUAGAAUGGGCAUCAUAAAUACUUUUUAUGGGAAAAAGGCACAGACCGGACGUGAUUUAAAAUAAUGAUUAUGUUCUGAUCAUCCAUCUCAGAACUACACUUGUUAAAUUUGCAAUAGCUGCCCAUAAAAGCCACUGCUAUGGUAAAGGAGGGAAAAUCACUGCCAGAAGGCUUGGAUUCUUUAGCUAGCAGCAUCUCUCUUAAAAAGAUGGAAGGAAAUGAAUAGGAAAAAAGCGCAACAUGAUAAAUUAAAUCAGUACUACAAUUAAGAGUUGCCUGGAUAAGACAGGAACACAGCUCUGCAUUUGAAAAAGUAGAACCUAAAACUGGAAGUCCUUGUGGGAUGAAAUUAGAUUUCCUUAGGAAAAAUAUUGUAAAUCUCCCAGGUUUUCGAAAACAUUUGGAUCUGCUGAUCCCAGAGAUUUUCUCCCAUCCUAUUCCCUGACUGUUAUAAAGUAAAAAACCUUGUUUCACAGAGGAUGCCAUUCUAUAAUGGCAUCACAUAGCUGGUGCAGGAGGAUGAGUGAUGCCUCUUUUCCUCCACUUCAAGCCCGGCCAAUUCCAAUCACAAUUGUUCAAAAUGUUGUAUAUAGUGAGUAUUUGGGAAGCAUGCAAGUGUACAUCUGCAUACAGAACAUUUUUCCAGAGAAAAGCUCAUAUAAUGCAUAUUAUUUUUUAAUCCACACUUUUCCCAAGUGAUUAAAUUUUCUUCCCAAACAAGGGUGGCAGACAAUUUUAAGUAAAGCCAGUCAUACUAUUUUGACACUUUGAAACAGAGUGAAAACAUAGGCCACCACUUUGCUAAUGUAGGAUCUAAUUAAACUCGACUCAGUGGGUGUAAGUAAUUUAUUGCAGUGCUGAAAAUUAUGUUUCUCCGUGGCCACAUGGAUUUGACACAUGAAAGCAUUCCCAGCCCUUCAUUACUUGAUUCACCAAAAGCACCCAGUGGUGGAUGUCUAGACCAGUACAGGUAUUGAAAGUAGAAGUGACAAGACAAUUUCUUUUGUCUUGUCACUAAAAAUUUCUUUUCAGCUGUUCCCUUUUCCCCACUGGACUGAAUUCACACUUCUGCAUGUUCAGUGAGUGCCCAACCUUCAUUUGUUAAAUCUUUGCUAAAUAUAAUUUAUUAAACAUGUUUGAUACCUCUGGUGUCUUCAACAUAGAUCUGUUUUACAAGUGUUUGUGGAAAAGACCUUGGAAACUCAUUUGAUUAAACCUCUCUGCUCUAAAGCAAAAACAAAAUUGACCAUUUAACCUGUACCUUGAGCACAGGAAUUCUGCAGAGCUGGUGGUCUGCUAUGGAUGACAGCAGUUUUAGCACAAAGAAGGAUUGAGCUGCAUCCUCUUUUUGCUUGUUUGGUUGAUUUUUACCUGUGAUUUCUUUUCUUUUUACCAUUUGUGUAGUAUUUCUCACCAUAUAUCUGACCAAUCAUUUUGAUUUCUAAUCCUGUCCUCCAAAGUAAUUGUGCUAUCUCCAGAUCAUCAUCAUUAAUCUGGAAAUAGAAUAACUAAUAUAAAAUGAAGUAUUUAAGUGUAGACUAUGAAUUUCUUUUUCUUACUUUGAAGAUUGUCAUUUGACACUGUUUCAAAAGCAUUGCUCAGAUCAGGUAGGCAACAUCUACUUUUAUUUUUUUAUUAUCCAGCCUGUGUGCUUCAUUCUCUGCCUGUGCCUUCCUUGCUUUUUGGAUUUAUCUUUUGAUUAGUUUUGAUGUUCUUGUUUUCACAUAGAAACUUGAAUUAUUUCAUUUUCCAGCAUUAUUUCAGGCCAAGAAAUGAGAUUAGUUGGCCUAACUUUCUUUUCUCCCACCCUUGAAAUAUAGGCACUAUUUUGGUAUAUGCCCGUAAUUUUGCAAACAAAAAAUAAAAACUAGUAAGCAAAAAGUGCUAAAACUAAUUUAUUCCCACUCUAAGUUUAUUCUCAAUAAAAAAAGAAAUAAGUAAAGAGUUAUGAUCUCCUCUCUAUGUGCUUAUUUUUAAAACUUCAAUGCAUGAAGGGUAUUACAGCCAUUUAAGAAGCAAUUUUGAUUGACAUUUUUUUAUUAAUUCACUUACAUAUAUAUACAAGUGAAUAUAUGAUUCAACAUAAAGUCCCUUGCAUAUGCAACAAAUAGAUAAAUUAUUCCACAAUUUUGGUUUCAUCAUUUAUAAAAUUCAAAAGUAUUUUAACAGUGGUUUCACAGCAAUACUUUCACUGCAGAAGGAAAAAAAAAAAUAUGUGUUGCCUGAGGCAUAUUGAAAAGGAACAAAACAUUAAGUGUGACUUAAAUAAGAGAAGAAGAAGAUACUUAAGACACAAGACAACUUGAAAAAAGCAAAAAAAGUGUUGAAGGAUGCCAUGAGGGAACUGUUCAAUGCAAUUAAACAAAAGAUCUCUCAAUGAUGCAAAGCUUCAGCUACAAAAGGAUUACCCAGCUUGGAAUGUCUGAUUCUUCAUCUUUGUGACAGAAAUAAAAAUGUAAAAAAAGUAAGAUAUUUUAACACAUCCUUCCAGAGGUGAUUUGUGUAUUCUGCCUGUAAGACCUCAUUAUAAUUUGGGAAUUUUUUUUAGCAUAGGAGAAGUAGGGUGGACCACUCUACUGAUUUUUUCUUUUUUUUUUUUUUAAUGAUAGCAAAAAGAAGUGAAAUGUCCCUAAUUUAGACAUCUUAACUACCACCAAGCAAAUCCUACUUUAAGGUCUGAAAUCUGUCACCGAAAUGAAGGAGUUAAGAGAGUUAAAAAAAAAAGUAAAAUUAAGCAUUCUCUCUUUUUUCUAGGUGCAGAAAAAGGUAACCAAACUUUAUGUGAAAAAAUUAGUAGUAGAAAUAAGAAAUAAAAUCAAACAGGAGGUUGAAGCUAUCCCUACAUAGACCUCAAACACUUCAGUGUCUAUUUGAAAAUUAUUCAAGUUAAACAAGACGAAAACCCCAGUAGCAAUUAUUGGAUAUUCUGUUUUUAUUUUUGGAAAGAAAACCCCAACAUAGCUGCAAGAGUAAUUCCCAGGUUAAGAAUAUGUAUAUAAUUAAUAGUUAAUUUAAUUUAUCUUAUUCUAGAAGCUCUACCCUGGGGAGUCUGUAGGUGGAGCAGCUAAAAGGGCUCAAUUACUCAGGAGAAACUUCAUCUGGCAUUAAACUCUGACAACAUGUUUUAAGUUGUUUAAACACAUUAAUAAUUUUAUAGCUGGAUGAUUUAAAGUAGCAGUAAUUUUAUACAUUCCUCUAAGCAUUAUUUUCUGACUCAGCUUCUCUUGAACAACAUAUUUAGAAAGACAGGAUUCAGCUGUCCUGAAAUUCACUGAGAUGACUUGUUCUCUGAUAACACCUGAAUUAGGCAAUAUAAUUAUCCUGAUAUAUAUAUAUAUAUAUAUAUGUAUUAUCCUGAUAUAUCUAUAUAUGUGGUUAUUUGUGUAUUACAUAAAUAAUCCAGAACAAAAGGAGUAGUAACAGUUUUCUGUGGUGAUCAUUUUGUGUUUUUCCUGUCCAUUGAACCCACUGAUCUUAGAGGUCUUUUCCAACCUUCACAACUCUUAUGAUUCCAUUAUUGGUUUUGCAAAAAAAAAAGCUUAAUUUUUAAAUGAAAAUAGGUUCAUGGAAUUUAAGUAAAGGUAGACUUUGAUUCAUUUCAUGAUGUAAGAGCUGUGCAAAUGCUGAGUUAAUGGAAUCCCAGAAUGGUUCAGGCAAGGGACCACAGUUGGUCCCAUCUCACUGUUCAAGCAGAGAAAUAAAACCUAUUCUAUAUCUUACAUAAAAUUCUGGUCUAUAAUAUUUCAUGAUAUCACUAUGGAAUGUUUAAAACACCUGUGAUGGAACUUUAUACAUUCAGAACAAUUCAAAGUUUGCAUUAAUGCAUUUCAGCAGCUCUAGGCCAGCAUGUUGUAAUUAUGAAAUGUUAUGUACACAUACAUAACAUUCCUGUAGACUAUAGGAAGGAAAAAUAAUAGGUCAUGCACCACUGCAAACUCCAUAAGAGAACUGGCAGGAAUGUUUGUCCGUGGCUUUCCAGAAAGAUGUAUUUUUUUGAGCACAUUUGAAGCUCCCAAAUUCAGCUGCCAAAUAUUGCCUGCAAAUAUAGGAAUAAGGUUUGGUGUAUAGGCUGCUGCACACAACUCCUUACACAUAUGUAAAGAUAUCUAAAGAUUCAAAGACUUUAAAACAACAUGAACCUGCCUGCUUUCAUUUUUACUUCCUUAAAAACUCAAUUCCAGCCUUUUUAAAAAUAUUACACCCUAAGGUGCAAUCAGUCCUGAUGUUUUUAUUAGGUAAAACAAAUCUGGACUCGAGAUUAUGAAGUCUUAGUUUGCAGACACAUGAAUCUCAAUGUUUGAGGGGCAGAAGCCAUGCUAAUUCCAUACAGAUGUCCUGCUGCAUUCCUGUAAAUUUUCAGACUGAAAAGGAAAUGCUGGUUACACCCCUUUCCCCUUCAGCCUACAGCAGAACAUUUCACAGAUUGCAUAUGUGUCUUGCACGCAGAGGAAAACACAUCUCUGCUAAUUCAAGCGUCAUAUUUACUUCAUGCAUAGAUAUUUACAUAGAUUUCACACCUAUAUAUUUAUUUAUCUAUUACAUAUAUUGAUUUCCCCCGCAAUAAAAAAACUUAGCUUUUGGGAUUAAGGUGGGUUUUAUCCCAACAUGCAAACACAAAAAAAGGAAUAUUUUUGUUCUCUUAGAUGUCUUCCUUUGCUUAGGAAAAAAGCAUAUAUUUGUAUUUUUAGAGGUGUGCAAGUAUACAUAUAUGACUUUAUAUAUGUAACACAUGAAUAUUUUUCAGAAGGACUUGGAGCAGGGGAACUGAAAAAUCCAAACCUGACACAGAAUGUGGCUGUUCUUACAUAGCCAAGAAGGUUCUUUGCACAAAAUAACACUUCAUGCUGGAGCUUUCCAGAGCAGCAGUUAAAACCAAGCCAUGUUCUCCACUGGCUUCCACUGAAGAUGCUGGAGUAAUUUUUCAAAACUCGAAAGCAACAGAAAGUGAAGCCUGUGCUGUAAUUCUCCAAUAAACCACAGGCUGAGUCUCACUUUCUUCAUGGGAACUGAUCUUGCUGCAGAAAUCUGAUGAAACGGUGUCUUUUUUGUGACCAUCAUGAAGAAAAUAAAUGACCAUGACAAAACAGGUGGGCAGUGUUGGUGUUUGGGUGCAUGGCUUUAUCCCCUCUGCUCAUAAUUUCAUGUUGAAUGUGGAAGUUAUGUGCACUAAAUGCUGUAGCAGGCUGAAGAAGAGAAAUGUGUAUUGAAAUAAAGUUCAGGAAAUUCUGUAAAUUCUUUAAGUGGCUCUGAAUUUGUUUCCUGCAAAGGCAGGAAUAGUGAUUUUUUUAAUGUCCUUCCUCAAGCUGAAUAUAUAGUUUUUUAACAUUGGAUUUGUUAAGGCAGUGAAAUACUAACUUUUAUGCUAUAGGGAGCUUUAGAUAUGAGGAUUUUCCUGUAUAUUGUUAGUGACUAUAAGGCUGGGAAGGCAGGUUAUAUGGGUACCACCUUCAGCACAAUUGGCACUUCUAGAAACUUGACUAUUGUAAACUUUAACUUCACCCUGGCUGCCAAAUCCAGCUGUUAGCAUAAAAACCUUUGUGAAAGUUACCAGAAUGUGAUUUUGUACCCCACAGUUGUCACUCACACUCAGCUUACACUGGUUUCUUGUGCUGGCUUUGCUGGCAUGCUCUGUUUAUUUAUGUUUUGCUUUUAUAGACCCAUGUAAAAUUAAUUUACAGCUCUCAAAUAUGUCCAGAGGCUUUCCCUACCUAGGCUGACUUUUGGGAAGUCAGGAAAAAGGUGCCAGACAUCUGCCAGAAUUGUUGGUUCACAGUUCAUUUGACACGAGAUCCUGAACUGAUGAUUUCUUGAGGACAGACAGUAUUUUACACUUGUUAUUGCAUGUAGCAGUCAAAAUAUUAAUAAUAUUUCAAUUUAAAAGGCAAAAUAAUUUGGGGGGUGAUCGUUCAUGCCAGUGAGUGUUAUCUUUUUAGAAGGCAUCUCUUACCAGUCAAGAGAAAUUUAAAUUUUGCAGGUUGUCAGUAUUAGUGGUGCAAGGCUGAGGUGGGGGGCAAUUUUCAGGAUUCAUGUGACCACCUCCCACCCAAUAUUUAUCACUUACAAAACCACAAAAUUGUCACCAAUGUUGUCAUCAAUAGUCAUAAAUUUAGGACUGUUAGCACGAUUCUUCACUUGCAGCCAUUUCUGCUUCAGAGUAAACCUGGUAUAAAAUUUAGUGCACUAAAAUUGAAAUUAUAGUUCUCAUCCUCACCUUUCUGAUUGAAGUUUAUCAGCAUUUGCUUGAAAUAUAAGUGGCAGCAUAACUCAUACCUGUCUGCUAGCAGAAAAGGUGAACUUUCUUUAGCACAAUAGGUCCUGAGAGCCUCUACUUAGCACUCUCCACUAAUGAAUUGUAAAAACUAAACUUUUCAACACUUCGCACACUAAAGCAAGGGUUCCAAAAUCUCCAGCUACACAAUUAAAAAUACAUUGUUUUUUCAGGUGGGAGGUCCAUUUUAUAUCCCAGGAUAAAUUCAAUGUUAAAAGACUAUAAAUUUAGCUUGAGGAAGGACUUUUUAAAAAAAAUCACUAUUCCUUCAUUUGCAGGAAACAAAUUCAGAGCCACUAGAAGUGCCAUUGUGAGAAAAAAGGCCUCUGGAAACUGAGCAUGUUGAGAAUUUUUCUUGGAAAUGUGUGAAGAUCUGUCUUCUGUUUUCAUUUUUAUUUUUCAUUUCUGAGAGUUCCUUUUCAAAACUAGAAUUCCAUUUAUUGUGACAUAAAGGGUUCAGUAGAACACCUAAACUUUGGGAUUAUUUAUAUUCUGGUUUUGUGGUAGAAAUUUUAUGUCAUAUCUUCAGUGUUUGGGGAUCUCAGGCAAUGAGAAAUACACAAAAUAAGAUUUCAGAGUCCAUAAAUUCAAUGAAACAGCCUUGAUAAUGAUGAAUUAUAAUAUUAAUAAUACAUUAUUAAUAACAAUCCUUAAAAUCUGCUGUGUAGCCACAGUGGAAUAAGUGACCAAGACAUGCAGCUGACACAUGGCAGUGGUAUGCUUUAAUUAGCUAAGUCUAUGAAAAUGAGGAAACUGGUCUAAAAUUAGCAAUUACAGGUUUUCCAGAACUUUGCUGGAAAUUUCCAGUACUGGUUCCCUAGAGAAAUUAAACUGUGAAAAUGAAGUAAUGGUUGAAUGUGUUGAAACAAUAAAAUAGCUGGAAAUAAUCUUCAUGAAACCAGGACAUUUAUCUCCAGGAAAUGGUGGAUUUCAUGGACUGAUCUCAUAAAAUCACCAAAUUCAUCUCCAGAUUUCAUAGGCUGCCUCUCAGAAGUGUGUGGUAUCUCCAUUUUUCUGGGAUUUCACUGGUUUUGGCAAAAUCACCUGCUGUUGGAGUUUCUCACAGGUCCAGCCAGCAGCUGUAACCCAAAAAAGAUGAGGACAGUUUUUCUCUAAGUCAUCAUCAUGCCUUUGCAUUCCUGGGUGGAUCAGCAGCUGAGCUGGUUUCCAGCAGUUUAUCCAUGGGUGAGGGAUCAUCAAGGCUGCACAGCCUCCCUAAGGAUAUCUGAACUUCCUGGAAUUCCUGCUGUGCUAUGUAACUGUGCAACUUCUGAUCCCAGCCAAUCUAGAAAUCAUGGACUGCAGUUUGUGUUUGGAUGUAUUCUGUCAAUUUGUGUCCAGGAUGUCUUCCCAGGUAAUCUGGUAGGUUUUGGGCUCAGACCCAGUCUCAGCCCAAACACUGGAACCCUCCUGAGUCUGAGCAAGUACAACAAUUCCUGUUUUCCUAGGAGCUCAUAAUGUAAUGGAAUUAUCUUUAGUUUAUAUACAGGAAAAAAAAAAAAAAAAAAAAAAAAAAAAAAAAAAAAAAAAAAGGGAAAAG